rnacentral:rRNA from 1 species
AUAGAGACUCAGAGCUGCAUAUCAAUAAGCGGAGGAAAAGAAACUAACAAGGAUUCCCUUUAGUAACGGCGAGUGAAGCGGGAAGAGCUCAAAUUUGAAAUCUUCAAGGUUCUACCUUGACGAAUUGUAGUUUAUAGAAGUGUUUUCUGUUAGUAGAGUGGCAAAAGUUCUUUGGAAUAGGACAUCAUAGAGGGUGAGAAUCCCGUAUUUGGUCAUUCUUUCUAGCUUUGUGAUACACUUUCAACGAGUCGGAUUGUUUGGGAAUGCAGUCCAAAAUGGGUGGUAAAUUUCAUCUAAAGCUAAAUAUUGGCGAGAGACCGAUAGCGAACAAGUACCGUGAGGGAAAGAUGAAAAGAACUUUGAAAAGAGAGUUAAACAGUACGUGAAAUUGUCAAAAGGGAAGCGUUUGACACCAGUGUUGUUUUUCCGAAAAUCAAUUAAGAAUGAUUUAGUUUUUAAGAAGUUAUGACUUCAUCAGGCUUGCUUCUUUCUUUUACGAAUUAUUAUUUAAUGCACUUUUCGGUUAACAAGUCAACAUCAAUUUCUUUUGUUGUAAAAGGGUAUGAGGAAGGUGGCUUUCUUUUCGGAGAAAGUGUUUAUAGCCUUGUACCUCUGCAAUCGGAGAGAUUGAGGUCUGCAGCGUAGAUCCUUCGGGGUUAGAUACGUUUGUGCUAAGUUAUAGCUUUUUCAUAGACAACUUGUUGACUAUGAUUAGUCAUGUAGCUUACUCAGCUGAUGCUAUUUUACCUACGCUUAGGAUGUUGAUAGUCACAGCGUGUAC